UUCUAUAUUUUACUAAAUUUUCACGUUUUUGCCUUAUAUUCUAAUUAUUAUUAUAUUUUGUACACCGCCUUUAGCUUUUAUUUGGCAAUUAAUAUGGCCAUACCUUGAGGGUCCUAAAAAAAAGACUCUGGAAUAUGCAUUAAAGAAUCGCAUGAUAAUCUUGGGAACCAUCCGGUAAUCUAAGAUUUUUGAUUUCCAUAUUCGCUGGACUUCUUCCUAGAACUUAAGCGAGAGUUUUACGAUGGCCACCCACCUGAUAAAGCAUACCCAUUAUAUGAUAAGAUUGGAGUUGGUCAUAUGAUCGUAUUUGGAGACGAAAGCGGAAAGUUACGGAAUGAUUCAAACACAUUAUCUAUUUUAAAUGCAUGGGCGUUUGUUUGGUUUAUUCCAAAAUGACAUUACAAUAAAUACAUAACUCUUCAACAAUGAUUCAGAUGCAUCCAGUAGAAGGGGAAACUCAGUAGAAAA